AUGGCCGCGGCGGGCUGGGGAAAGGAGGAGGAGCAGCAGGGAGGCGGCGGCGGCGAAGGCCGGGCUGCGAAUGAGUGGGCGCCGGCAGCCGGUCCUACACGAGUGGGCCCGGUGCCCCGCAUCAGCUCCUUGAGUUUCUCCGGAGUGGACAGUAGCAGCUUUCGUGAUGGCCGGGGCAGCAGCUAUGGUGGGGCCAGCGUCAUGAGAGGCAUCACCACAGUCGCAGUCAACCAGAGCCUGCUGAGCCCCCUUGUCCUGGAGGUGGACCCCAACAUCCAGGUGGUGAGCACCCAGGAGAAGGAGCAGAUCAAGACCCUCAAUAACAGGUUUGCCUCUUUCAUAGACAAGGUGCAGCUGGAGACUCUAGGCCAGGAGAAGCUGAAGUUGGAGGGGGAGCUUGGCAACAUGCAAGGGCUGGUGGAGGACUUUAAGAACAAAUAUGAAGAUGAGAUCAAUAAGCAUAGAUCUGGAGUCUCACCGACUGAUGAGAUCAACUUCCUAGGGCAGCUGUAUGAAGAGGAGAUCCAGGAGCUGCAGUCCCAGAUCUCGGACACAUCUGUAGUGCUGUCCAUGGACAACAGCCGCUCCCUGGACAUGGACAGCAUCAUCGCUGAGGUCAAGGCACAGUACGAGGAGCUCGCCAACUGCAGCGGAGCUGAGGCUGAGAGCAUGUAUCAGAUCAAAUAUGAGGAGCUGCAAUGUUGGCUGGGAAGCAGGGGGAUGACCUGCAGCGCACAGAGACUGAGAUCUCUGAGAUGAACCUGAACAUCAGCGGGCUCCAGGCUGAGAUUGAGGGCAUCAAAGGCCAGAGGGCUUCCCUGGAGGAUGCCAUGGCAGAUGCUGAGCAGCGUGGAGAGCUGGCCAUCAAGGAUGCCAACGCCAAGCUGUCCGAGCUGGAGGCCGCCCUGCAGCGAGCCAAGCAAGAUACGGCAUGGCAGCUGCGUGAGUACCAGGAGCUGAUGAACGUCAAGCUGGCCCUGGACAUCGAGAUCGCCACCUGCAGAAAGCUGCUGGAGGGCGAGGAGAGCCGGCUAGAGUCUGGGAUGCAGAACAUGUAUAUUCAUAGGAAGACCACCAGCAGCUUUGCAGGUGGUCUGAGCUCGGCCUAUGGGGGCUUCACAAUCCCCGGCCUCAGCUACUGCCUGGGCUCCAGCUUUGGCCCUGGCGCGGGCUCUAGCUCCUUCAGCCGUGGUUGUGAAGAAGAUCGAGACCCGCGAUGGGAAGCUGGUGUCCGAGUCCUCUGACGUUCUGUCUAAGUGACAGCUGCGGCAGCCCCUCUCAGCCUACCCUUUCUGCGCUGCCCCAGAGCCUGGGAGGGAGGCCACUGUGCAGGGGAGCACAGGGAACAGGAGACCCACCUGAGGCUCAGCCCUAGCCCUCAGCCCACCCGCGGGGGAGUUUACUGCCUGGGGACCCCGCUUGCCCAUGCCUCCAGCUACAAAAUAAUUCAAUUGCUUAUUUUUAUUUUUAUUUUUUGGUCCAAAAUAAAACCUCAGCUAGUUCUGCCAA